ACUGUAUAGGAUAUGGGGGGGGGGAGAGGAAGUAAUAAUUAGUCUUUUAUUCUUCUACCCUGUACUUCAUGUAUUCACUUGAUAGAUUUUCUCUGAAAUCUUUGAAAACACAAAUCCUUAGGACCUAAUAAUAACUUUGCAUAGCAUCACUGAGCAAUGCCGUGCCCUAGGAGACUGACAGAAAUAUUGAAGAGGAUCUUCCACUGCCAUCUCAGAGACUGUCUGGAGCAAGAUCCGGUGCUUUGCUGUGGAGUUCUGUUCCUUCUGCCACUGACUUCAGAGUGAGAGCAAAAGUUUUACAUGCCUGGCUGUGGGACAAAGAUGAGGCACAACUGAAAGUCUACCAGUGGGACACUUAAGAAAAAAUAACCUUAUAUGCCACUGGCACUUCACUGAAGGCUGCCACUCCAGCUGAAGGCCACAGAAAUCCUGCUGGCUCAUCUGGAACUAACACAACGCUCAUUUGCUCUUCAGAAGGUUUGUUAUAAUGAAGAAGGAUUAUUCCUGACUUUAGAGAAAGACUCUGAGACAUGAAAAUCUGAAAAUAUGCCAGAAAAGAUCACAAUUAAAUCUAUUCUAAGUUGAAUGGGAUGUCAAAUAGCCAGUAACAAGUCCUGCAGUGCCUGGAACGUAUGUCCAUAAAGGCUCAGCCGAAAGAAUGAUGUUGAACACUACACCAAUGACAAGCACACCAAAGAGGAUCAGGAAAGAAUAAAUGCUGACAUUUAAGAAAGAGUACAAAGAACACCUUGAAGACAUACUUGCUUUAAAUACAACUUAACAGUCAGUUUUUGGGUCAUUUUAUUCAAAAGCAAGUCUUCUGUGGCAAUGAAGCCUAGGAUGGAAUAAAGUAUAAAUUCCUCCAGAAACCAUGAAGCUGCACAGUGAAAGUAUGCCAGAAGAGCAUACCUGGAAAAAAGAUCUUUGCUCCUACCCUGACGAGUGCUGUGAAAUCCACAAUAAAAAUAUUCAGUUGUUUUAUCACCUUGAGUAGUUCACAAGUCAUCUCUUCUUUAUGACACUGUGAUCCUCCUCUCAACAGUAAAUUAAGGCAUAUUUGUCAAAUAAUACUCUACAAUCUGACACAUCAGCACUGUUUAUUUAGCCAUGGCAGUGUAAACAAUUUGUAUUUCAAAGUAACUCUCAUAGUGGCUAAGCUCAUGGGGAAUCUUAUUUAUAAAUCAUUGUAGUAGGUACCAAUCAUAUGCAAUUUGCUACUGCUAUUGUAGACCAGCAAUUUCACUUGUUACUGCAAUUUUAAAGAUAAACUUGGAGAAAAUAGUAAGUACAAGGUAUUUCUGUUAUUCCAGAGCAGCUUUCUCUGGGGUAACACUCUCUUUAUCCUUGAACAGAAUAUAUAUUAAAAUUUGUGACUAGACAGGGUAAGGAAUCAUUGCAGUGAUGUAAUUUUCAGUAUACUCUCUAAAAAAUAGGGUUUGUUAAAAAAAUAUUUUCAUGAAAAUAUUUUGUAGUAAUAGUACUAUUAGGAAUAUCAAGUCAAGAUAUGUUUCGGUCUUCUCUUACAGAAGAAAAGACACUUCUUCAAUUGUUUCUUGUCAAUUCACCAGGAGCAUACAGAUGAUCACUAAUCCAGAUGAGUGUUCUAAUUUUCACACUAUAAAGAAUAUUUAUGCACCUUAAAUAUUGGGGAUAAACAUUUUGAUAACUUCAUUUUUCUAAAAAAACUCAGAUAAAAGAAAGAAAAAAGCAUAAAAAACCCCAAACCAACAAACAAAUUUAAAAAAAAAAACAAACAAACAAGCAAAAACCAACCAAGAAAACUCAAAAAAACCUAUGCCAACCAACUAACCAAAAAAAAGCCAUAACCUCUAAAAGAAUUUACUGACGUCCAAAUUUUUAGGGGAAAUAUUUAAAAUGUGCUUAAUUUAAUGAAGAUAAUCAUGGUCUUUGGGAUUAGAUGUUUUCUGUGAAUUGUUCUCAAAUUCCUCUGUGCAUAGUAAUCUUAUCUGCUACCAUGUCAACAUCACUGAACCAUCAGUAAUAUUUUCGGAGCUGAACAUGAAGUAAAUGCACUGAUAACACCGGUGUAAAUAAAUUCUUGUAUUAAUAUGUUUUGUGUUUAUCAGCUGCACCUCUCAAGUUUAUCUUUGUCAGGAGGUAGUAGUGUCUAGUCAAGCUAUCUGACAACACACCAUAAAAUACCUCUGCAAUCCAUUUCUCAUUAAACAAAUGAGGAAUGAGGUUUUUAUGCAACUUGUGAUUUUAAAUGACAAAACUAACUAGCAUCAAACUAUUAAACUGCUAGAUAAACAUCUUCAGACUAAAGACCUGGUCAUUUCUACAUGAAAUUUCAUAAAGCAUUGUGCUAUGAAUGGGUUUUACUAGAGCUGGAAAACAGCUGUUUGCCCUUGAAAGAAUAAUUACAAUGACUAAAUGGAAGAAAUCAAUAUUAUCAGAAGACUAUGUUUAAAAAAUAAUGAAAUGCCUCUUUUUCUAUUUAAUUAGAAUACGUAAAUGCCGCUUUUUCCUAUUUCCACUAGAAAUCCCCUGUAUGAAAAUGUAAUUUAUUAAAGGCAUUAUUAACAAUGUGUUGCUUAAUGACCCAAAUCUCAUCUCUCCUGCUACAUCCUUUUCUUAGAUAGAAUCCAACAGAGAAAAAGAAAGAAGCAAUGGCUUUAGCAAGGGCAGAGUAGAGUAGAUGUUGCCAGGGAGACAGAGCAGGAAGCUCUGAGGAAGCUUGGAGUGUUGGAAAUGAGAUAUACACACAUCUUGGAAGUGUUGGAGUGAGCUAUACACAUGUAAACGGGGAACCUUAAGCACAGUAUCCAAAACUAUUCAGCAAAAGUUAAGCUGCAGUUUUGUUCUUUUUGAUAAUUGCAUGAUUCCAUUAAAGUCACACAAACCCAAAUGUUAGCAAAGCCGGAAAACGAUAUGGAAAUCUGCUUUUUCAUCAAACUAAAUUCAGGAGGACAGAAAGAUUUGCAUAUUACACAUUGUUCAUGUAGCCAUAGACUUUCAAUAAUUCAAUUCCCUCCUGCAUGUUAAAGGGUUAUUCAGUUAUAAAAUAGGAAAGCAUGGGAAAUACAUAAAGAUCAAUUAUUGUAAAGCAAUGCCUUUGUGCUGUACAGUAUUGAAAUGUAAAUGACUGAAGAGUUUACAAAGUUUUUAUUGAUUUGCUUCAUGAAGCAAACUUUGCAGAUAAAUAAGCUAGCUUUUGUGUAAUGAAACUUGCCACUGACCUUCAUCCAAAAAGAUCUUUAGAAGUUUGUAACUAUAUAUACAUUAAAAGAGCUCACCCUUCUAUCUUUUGAAGUGCCACAAGAGAAAGAAUGAUGAAACUGCUCUAGUGCUACGUGAUGUGCAAAUAUAAUUUCAUCCAUAAAAUGUGGUUAACUUUACAAAGACAUCGUUGUAAUGAUUUUCGACUGAAUAAUAAAGUUUCUAAAACAGAUUUAUUUCUUAUUUUACUGAAAUAAAUUUUGUAAGGUGCAUUUCUGCUGAGCAGAUUGUGCACUCUGAAAAAUAAUAGAGAAAAUGGCAGGGUUGUUUAGCCUUGACAAUUAAAAGUGAGUAUGCACGUGUUAUGAUUUUGAUAUGCUAACCAAGAUCAUCCAUUUGAGAACUGGCCACACUGAAUUGAAAUGCAUGGGAAAACACAGGUCUGCUUCUGUUGUCAUUUGUGCUACAUUUUAAACUGGAAUAACAUUUUACUUUUUUUAGUCUGUACUUAAAUUUAGUUGCUUUUGGAACUUGCUGUCAUGGGGGUAGCUUAACAUUGUCUGAUUUUUUCACCUUUUGUGUCUGUAUAAAAUAAAACUUUCUGUUGUGUUCUCCAUUCCUGUCUGUAUAAAGCCUUUUGGGAGCACUACUGGUUCUGGUGCCUGCACCAAAAUUUUUUGAAUAAUCCAGGGUGUCAGUCUGUAUUGCGGUGGUCUGAUCAGAGUCCAGUAUCUGUAUGCAAAAUCAGAACCCUCUUUUCCUUAUGAAUACCAUUUCACCUUUACCAUUUUUGAAAUUCAUGAGCCACCCCUUUGUUCAAUAAGUCUUGUAGAUUCCUCAUAAAUACCUCAUUACUGGUGUCUGCUUAUUGAGGGUUGAUUUUUAAUUUUGGCCUUGGGAGUGUUUGGAUGAAAAACUUUUAUGUUUUGUGUGUUUGCAUAUAAAUGUAUGGUGGGAGUUUGAAUGUGAAAGGAUUUCUGUAGCUUUUCAAGAUAAAUUGUUGGUAGCAAACUUAGAUGCAAAAGUCCUGAUUGUCUGGGUUUGCCUUCUUUAAAGUUUUUAAGAAAAUGGCUUUACUAUUUUUAUCAGAGGAACCUCUUUCUUUAGAAAUGAAACAACAAGGCUGUGAGCAUGUUUGCCGUUCUAAAAUGAUUCAUGACCCUAUAUUUGCAAUUAGAAUUCAGUCAUUCAUAUUGAUUGAGAUCAACUGAGAUCAACUGAUAAAGAUGAAAGAAUAAUAUACUGAGCAAAGCAGAAUGUUUUCCCUCACUGAAAAGGGCUUUUUAAAACCAUUAAUUAUCUCUGUAUAGCAGAUCAACACUUUCUUGAA